GCGGAAGAUGGGAGCUUGCUCCCUGAUGUUAGCGGCGGACGGGUGAGUAACACGUGGGUAACCUGCCUGUAAGACUGGGAUAACUCCGGGAAACCGGGGCUAAUACCGGAUGGUUGUUUGAACCGCAUGGUUCAAACAUAAAAGGUGGCUUCGGCUACCACUUACAGAUGGACCCGCGGCGCAUUAGCUAGUUGGUGAGGUAACGGCUCACCAAGGCAACGAUGCGUAGCCGACCUGAGAGGGUGAUCGGCCACACUGGGACUGAGACACGGCCCAGACUCCUAC
rnacentral:rRNA from 1 species